rnacentral:lncRNA from 1 species
AUGAUCGAAAAAUUUCCAACGAUUUCGAUAAUUAACUAGAAAUCGUAAAAUAUCACCAUCCUCGAAAACGAAGUUUCCAUUAAUGGGACCAUUUUCGUGCCCGCGCAUACUUUCGUACUCACACGUAACAUCGUUUCUGAUUCCCCUUCUUUCUUUGUUCCUAUUCGUUUCAUAUGGGUCAUUUUACUAGACUUGCUUCGAAAUAUGGGUGUCCCGUAACGAAAAUUUGGAUUGGUUUCAUUUCGAGAUCGAAGUAAUGAACGAAUAUUAGCGAACGAAUAAUUAUUAAUAAUUAUAAUUCCAAAAUUAUGUUAUAUUAUGAGAUACAUAUGAUGAGAAAGAAAAGAAGAAUUAUGAGAAAUAUUCGAAACAAGUGCAAACAGCGUUCAAAUUGUUCCGACUGUUAACAACGAUCAAUUGUUCUUCCCAUUCGACUUGAGAUUUAAACACGCGUGAGUUAGCACAUCGGUUCGAACGAUUAGUCGCCGCGUUUGUAAUCGUUAUCGAGGCCGUUAACGGUAUAAUGAUUCAAAGUCGUGUAACUCGACGAUCGUUCGAUCAAAAAUUAUAGUUCGGAUCAAAGAUCGCGUAUAAGGCGCAAAAAUGUAUCGUGGAAUCACGUAGAUUGGAGAAGAAGAAAACGAAAGAUUACGUAUACAAACGUUAUGCUCGAUCCAUGAUUUGGUCUGGUCAGGUCCAAGUUGAUUAAAUAGAAUUAAUAGAACGCGUAUACCAUUCGUGUGCACCGAUUGCAACAUGUACACACACACACACAUACACACAUACACGCAUACGCGUGAGAUACAAUUUCCAAUAAUAUUAUAGAAUAUUGUGUAAUAAAUAUGGAACGACUUUUCUCCUUUAAUAUGAAACGCUUUGAAAAUCGUUAACCGGAGAUAAAGAAGCGUAUCUCGAAACUUAUCCUGACAUCUCGAGAUUAGUCCAAUAAUUCGAUGAUAAUGCAACGAAGCGCGAAAAAAGAAAUAAAGAGAAAUAUGCGCGGGAAUAAUUAGAUGCACAACUAAAAACAUGUGUACACGCGAGCGCGCGCGCGGGCGCGCAUUCUCAACGUCCAAUAGAUUAAGUCAUAGUACCGUAAAUAACGCCGCGAUAUCGACUGAUCGAAUAUGAACUUUAACGUAUAACGCAGCUUCCGCAUUUAGUACAAUGUUAGCGGUUAUGUAAUGACUGUACGGUUAUCGGAGUCCUGUCCGAUUAAAAACGCGCCAAUUUCGCGUGAUUCCCGCGACAAUCUUCACGUAACAUCACGAUAGAGGAUGCUAGGUCGUAAAAAAAAUGCGAUCUGUAGUGCGUGAACUUCAUCAAUUUUCUAACUUUCAUAGUUAAAAAUAUUGUCGCUUUGAAUCUACGCGCGAUCCACGUGCAUUUUCAAAAAACAAACGAACAUACGCGUGACAAUUCCGCUCAACGAUAAAUGGUUAUAACUAUCUUUCAUUGGAAAAUCGAAUUUAUAAAAUCAUGGCUAUCAAUUGCAUAAGAGCACGAUCGAAUUUUAAUCUUAUCUCACUGAUUUUUCAUAGACAUUGACAUUUCGAGUCGAUUAAUGACAAUACUGUCAAUCUAAAAGCUAUCGUUUUAUCGUGCGAAAUUAUAAACGUUAAGAAAAGCAAUUUCGCGCAGAAGCAAGACGAUAAGUUGUUUCAGAACCCGGAACCCGGAAGUAUCAUACUUAACGGAAAAGAUUUUCAUUGGCAUUUUUAUCGUAUGAAAAGUUAGGUUAUUGACCGAUUGCACUUGAUAUAUUUUUUUUCGAAAAUUCAAUUUAUUUUUGUAAUUAAAAUAAUUACUAUCGAUAAAUUUUUUAUAUAAUCAUAAAUUGAAAUAAAAUAAAAUAAUUUGUUUCUAAUUCUUAUGAGAAAAACAUACAUUGAUAUCUUGAAUUAAACUCGAAACAGCACGUGAUGACUUGUAUUAUAUCUCCAAUAAUUUCGAGAUUGCGAAGAUAUUUAAAAUUGUUAAAUACGAACGAUAUUCGUUUCAUCGAAAUAGUUCGAAAGUGCAUGGAUUGAAAGUUGAACGACGCACUUCAACGAACGAUAAACUAUCAGAAAAACGAAGAACAGUUCAUUUGGUCACUAUCGAUCGUGGAUAAAAGUAUGUCGCGUAAAUAGAAACACAAACACGAUUAUCGUCAAGUUUAUUGUAAACGCUUUCAAUUUCUUUUAAAUGAGAAACGAAUGAAGAUUUUUUAAUCACGGAUAUAUACAUUUUGAUUAAAAUGCAUAUAGAAAAUCGUGAGAAUAUUCGAAAAAGAACUUGAGAUUUUUCUUGAAAAUACGAUAGUCGGUUCGAACUAGUCAGCAGGAUGGAUGCGAUUGUCGAUCGCACACGUAUGCAUUUAUUAAGAACUUACAGGACGGAUGGUGGCAACAAGCACACAGUACGUUUCGCAUAUACCGGAGCAUAUAAACACAUAUGCAUCCGUCCGCACACUACGAUAACGAAUAGGAAAGAGAAACAGAGGGCCAGUAGCGAGUACAUGUAGUUGUACGCGUUAACACAAAUACUGAUAGUAGACUAGUCACACACUCAAAUACGCACGACCGUAUAGAAAGACGAGCACAUUCACGUAGGCAUACACACACUCGAUACACGGUGCAACGAGGAAAGAGAAUACUCGUUGUUUACGUUCUAACAUCUGAGCCGAAGAAGGUAUACGGAAAAUAUCAAGAUAUGUCCCUCAAUGACAAGGACCUACUGGGAUUUCCUUACUCUGCUUGUGUAAUCCGAAACUUCUCGCAUGAUAGCCUCGAACGCCGCUCUUUCCUGUGCUUCCUUCUGUUUGUGUAGCGCGAUCUUGUCACUGAACUUUCGUGGAUUCGCCAUGAUGGCUCGGCACUAGAUCUUCCGACACUCGCGAGUAUCGUGCAC